GUACUGGACACUGGUGAGGCCACACCUCAACUCCUGUGUUCAGUUCUGGGCCCCUCACUGCAAGAAGGACAUUAAGGGGCUGGAACAUUUCCAGAUGUCAUGGUUUAGGAAUAGUAUUCCCCAAUUUAGUACUCCCACUAAAAGAAACACAUAAGCUGCUGCCCUCCCCGCUCCAGUGGGAGAUACCAAAGGCAGAGAUAAUGGGUUGAGAUAAGAACAAUUUACUGGAAACAGCAAUGAGAAAAAAACCCCAAACAGUAACAGCAGCAAUAUUAUUAACAAAAGUGUAUAAAGAGAGAAUGAUUUCCAUGCAGAAUGCUGACCAAGCCCAACUCCACACAGAGUGACCCCAAGACAGUGAACAAUGGCCAAUGGGUUCUCCACCCUGCCAUGCUUUGUUCCACCAGAGAGGGACACUCUCCAUCCCAGAAGCCAGAGAGGAAGUCCCUUUUUCCCUCCUCUGACAAUGACAUAAGGUGGUAUUGAACAAGACAAUGUCUUGGCAGUGCCCCUUCCCACAGAUCCAGCCUGGAACCAGGACCUCAGAGAAGGGCAACAGAGCUGGGCAAGUAUCUGGAGCACAAGUCUGAUGAGAAGAAGCUGAAGGAACUGAGGGUGUUUAGCCUGGAGAAAAGGGGGACCUUAUUGCUGUCCACAAUUACCUGAAAGGAGAUUGUAGUAAGGUAGGUGUUGGUUCCUUCUCCCAAGUAGCAGUGACAAGAUGAAGGGAAAUGGCCUCAAGUUGCACCAGGGGAGGUUUAGUUUUAAUAGCAUGAUUUCUUUUUCAUGGAAAGGGUUGUAAAACAUUAGAACGGACUGUCCAGAGAAGUGGUGGAUCACCAUCCUUGGAAGUGUUCAAAACCUGUGUGGAUAUGAAACUUGAAGACAUGGUUUGAUGGUGAACAUGGUGGUGGUGCUAAGUUGACUGUUGAACUUGAUGAUCUUCAAUGUCUUUUCCAAACUUAAAAAUUGUGAAUAUAAUUUUAAGAACAGUGGCAGUGGCACAUGCAGAGACAUUUGCUUUCAGUGGCAACCCCUCUCAUAAGAUCCCAUCAAAUGUCUUGUGCUAGUUUUGGAAGCUGGGAUCUGCCACUGCUUCUACAGAAACCAUAGGUUAGAAAACCUCUAUAGCCUUUCACAUCAGAUUUGAAGGACUCUUACAGUUGGUACCAACAGUAAUUAACAGUCUCUAGAAAAAUGUUAAUUGUUAAUCCCUCUGGAGAAAAUUCAGAAAUACCCCUGACAGCUUCUGGGAAUGACUGAAAGGGGACAUUAAAUGGGAUCUUUGAUAUGUCUUGUGCUUUUGUGUGUUCUCCUCAGCUGUAGCAUGGGGAUGGUCUUCUGCUUCCACUCUAGAAUGAUGUGGGAUUUAAAAGCUAUAGAUAAAUUUUUAAUACCUGUUACUUUAAAUCAAUGUUGUACUUGAAGGAUUUAAACUCUAUAACUUCACCUGUCCACAUCUUUAUUUAUGUUGCUCUGAGUACCAAUUGUUGUCUGUUCCAUCCUGAGAGCAGCCGGUAAGAAAAAUCUCUGCUCCCUGCCUGGGGAACACACGGAGCAAGAGAAUGAAAACAUAUGAAUAGCACUUGAAACUGGUGCAUCCAGCCUGUCUGACCAUCAGUGCCGAUGGGAGUUAGAGCUAGAGGAAGAUUAGAAAACAUCUGAGCCCUCAUUAGCUCCAGUGGGAGGUUGUGUAGAAAUUGUGAGUAUUUCUAGAAAAAAAAGUCUCACAAAGGGGAGCUUUUGAUUCACUGAAUUACAAAAACAAGUUUAGGAGUUCUUUUUGUCUGAGAAUACUUUUAUACUGCCUGAGACCAUCAAGGAAGGUGAUAAACAGGGGGAGAAAUAAUAAAUUGAAGGAGUCAUGGAGAGCGAGGCUGCUGGGAUGUGUUUCAUUUUUGUGGAGUUGCUUGCCUGGUGAGCUGUAAGGGACUGUAAGCAGCACAAGAGGGGCAAGAUCAUCUCUCCUCCCAUGAAGAUUACAUGAGUGAGCAUCUGUAGUUAGGAAGAGGAGAGGAAGGAAUCUUGAAAAAGCAUGUAAGUAUCUUAGGGGUGGUUGUCAAAAGGAUGGGGCCAGACCCUUUUCAGGGGUGUCCAGCAACAAGACAAGGGACACCAGUCACAAACUGAAACCCAUGAACAUCCAUCUGAAUAUGGGGAAAAGCUUCUUUACUUUGAGGGUGACAGAGCACUGGAAUAGGUUGCCCAAAGAGGUUGUGGAGUCUCCUUCCAUGGAGAUAUUCAAAACCCCGCUGGAUGUGAUCCUGUUCAGCCUGUUCCAGCUGAAUCUGCUUUAAUAGUGGGGUUGAGGUGAUCUCCAGAUGUCCUUUCUGACCCCAGCCAUGCAAUGAUUCUGUGUGAUUUGCUUCUCUAGGGCAGCUCUGUUUCCUUCACACAGACGUAUUAGCAGCCAUGGGGAAGAAGGGGUGGAAGAGGGAUCCCCAGCCUUAGCCUGCUGUUUCUCUCCAGCGUGCCAAGCAGAAGCAAGGAGAAAGCAUGGAGGGGAAAAUAAUUUGCCAUGUAUCUGUAGAUGCUAACAGAUGCCUCUCACGAGGGAACAAAUUGUCAACUUAAGUCACAGUGUGUUCCUGGGUUUGCUUUCUGCUCAAGAUAUACCAUAUCCCUAAGUGAGCAGAGGAUGUUGCCUUGCAAGGAGCUGGAAGGAUUAACAAGGGGAAAAGUGGUGGAAAGUUUAGAAAUACAGAAUAAUAGUAAAAGAAAAGUUCCAGCUUGGAAAAUUCUGUUUCUUACAUCUGGGAAAAAUAAUCAGAGACUCAACUGUUCUGCAGGAGAGAGAUACUUACAGAGCACUAGAAAUGAAAAAAACAAACCAACCCCUAGAGAAAGCAGUGGGAAACCAUUUAGUGGGCUUAUAUAGGCACUGAAGAGUAUGAUUUUGGGGCUACACACAGAGGCAAAAACAUUAUCUUCCAGGGAGGCGAUGAUCCAGCUGUACAUGGCACAGGUGGAACAGUAUUGCUGAUUCUGGCAUAUCCAUGCCAUACUGACGUGGAUGAAUUGGAGAAAUGUGUCAAUAGAAAAUAAUGGACUGGAGAGAAUAUUUUUUAUAUAUGUGCAAGAAAGAUUAUGUAUUUUAUAUGGCUUGGUGGCGAUUUAGAGUUAGAAAGAAUAACAUUCUACAAAAACCUGAAGGCAGUAAAAAGCAAGGAGUUAAAAAUACAUUUAAGGUGGCAGAAUAGGUGUGUGCAUACAGGGUAAAAAGGAUCAAGGAGCACAUAGUCAAGAAAAAAUUGAGGACAAGACAGAUACAUAUAAUGGUGAAAUGGCUCUAAGGGGGAAGCAAUAAAUGCCUACCAUGGAUGCUUUUCAGCAUCAUCAGGAAUGUGCAGAGAUGCCCAAGGUAACUCAGGUGCCAGAGCAAGUCUAUCCCAUCAGCACAGAGCUUCAAGGAGAUCUCUGCAAGCAAGACAUCUCUGUUGGUGAGCAACAGAUGUGUUAUUUAGCCCCUAAACAUCUCCCAGGUGUGACUCAUUCAUGGCUCCUUAUAUAAAUACAGAUCUACCGCUCCUGAGUUUUCCAGAGGAAGCCUGGUUUGCAAGCGGACCUAGAGGAUGAGGGUGUCCUCUUGGAAAAGCCACCUGUCUUCUCUCUUUUCUCUGUGGCCAUAUUCAGAUCCCUUUCUGAGUUGUGCCUGACAUGAUUCCUCUUCUAUUGCUACAGAGAGCAGUCCUUCCCUCUCUCCCUUGUGCUCUCUCUCCUGGUCAUACUAAAGCCCACAGAGAUCUCCUGAUUUUCCUAGGAUGUGACCAGUUUUCUCUUUCCAGAAUAAACAAGCAGGACAGCAGACCUGGUUGCUGCUGCGGCUGUCUUUUCCUUGAUGAGAGCUGUGCCUCUUCCCCACCUGCCUCCUCAAAAACACGAGAGUGUGAAGACCUGGUCAUGCCGCUCGGGGCUCUGCUUUUCCUGCACUGAUGCUGUUAAUCUGUGAUAUUUCUGUUCCCCUCAGAGGCACUGCAGGACUCAGUGUCUGUUUAGCACCACUGCACAAGUUCUCAUCUCCUUGACUUUGCCACUGGGGUGAAACUGGAGUCCAAUAUCCUAUGGCACCACUGGGGACAGGACUGGUGGGCCCAGGCUGGGCUGUAAGGGGGUCCUGGGCUAUGGAGAGGGUGAGGGAAGGCUUUGGACUGCACCCACAAUUCAGUAUUUCCAACCAAAACCCUUUAUUUAAUUUGUAGGUAUCUAUGGAGAUUUUUUUCAGUUUUCUAUGGAGACUAUGAUGCCUUCUAUGAUUGCAACUUUUACAGGAAGUUUAAUAAGACCAUGUGGCCUUUCACUGCAGCUCUGGGGUUGAGCUCCAGUGCAGCCUGUUCAUCAGUGCAAGGUCCUGUAACACUACAGCCUACUGUGGGUGUAUGGUGCAAAGAAGACAAGAUAACAUGAGAGCAUGACACAUCACCAGGAUGUCCCCCAUGAACCAGCCAAGCAGGAGCCUCUGGCACAACUUGAGGAAGCACAGAGGGAAAGGUGAAAGUUGUAUCCACUUUGUCCUAUCACACAAACAGCACCUGCUGGUGGUGGGCUACAGCAGCCACACCGCAAGGAUGGGGCCAGAGCAUCGCUGCUGGCAGUGAUCUCCAUCAGCCUCUUGAAGCAGUGCUUGGCUUUGCUGUGCCAUGAGCAACAGACAGAGGACAGCCUGGUCUGUGCUGCAGCAUCUUCAACAGCCCCUCAUCUGCCAGAAGAAGUGUGUACCACUGGAUUUGUGAAACCUUGAGUAGGUCAUGCCUGUUGUUGAUUUUGUCUUUAAUUGCAGUUCAGAGCUUGACAAGAAAAACACCAUUUUUCUGCUGCACAUGGGGAACCAGCUGUUGUGGUGGGUUGACCUUGGCUGGACAUCAAGUGUCCUACCAAAGCUGUCCUAUCCCUCUUCUCCUCAGCUGGGCAGGGCAGAGAAAAUCUAACAAAAAAAAAAAAUCUUCUCACGGUCAACUUAUGGACAAGAAGAGAUCACUCACCAGCUAUAAUGUCAUGGGUGAAACAGACUUGGGGAAAGUUAAUGUACUUUAUUGCUAAUCAAAUCAGAGUAGAGUAAUGAGAAAUAAACCCAAAUCUUAAAACAC